rnacentral:tRNA from 1 species
GGGCCCAUAGCUCAGCCUGGAUAGAGCAUUCGGCUUCGGACCGGAAGACAGGGGUUCAAAUCCUCUUGGGCCCG